AAAAAAAAAAAAGGGUUGAAGGAGAAAUUAAUGGAGCUAGCAACUCCUUGCAAUUCAUUUAUGAAGGCCAAUUAUUUGCUAGAUGACACAUUUUUCCGCAAUAACAGCAUCAAGCAAAACCAAGCCAUCCUUCUCCAGAUUCCUCUGCUGUUUGGAACAAUUGAAUUCCUGCCCAUACACAUCCUUGAUGACUUUGUGCAGCAUUGCAGCAAUUCUUGGCUACAUGUCCCCAUUCUCCACAAUUGAAACAAGGACCAACACCACUGCAACUCCCAGUACUGCUCCUGUGGCUGCGGCUGCGGUUGCCUCUCCAAGACAAACUUUUAUACUGUCUUGAAGCAAUCUUCCACCAGGAGCAGUCACGUUAAUUGCUUGCAUUUUGGCAUCAGAAGCACCUACAACACUUUCAUACUCAACUAAUGCGCCAGGCCAGAGAUGUAUGUAGCCAUCGGAUUUCAGAGAUAAGUAAUGGACAAACACAUCUACGUCCCCACCAUCAUUUGGCGUUAUAAAUCCAUAACCUCUUUGAUUGUUAUACCAUUUGAUAGUUCCUGUCCUCCUAUUGUUGCUUAACCUCUUGUUCCCAUGGCAGAAGAAGAAACUCUCUUCUUGGUUCGCUAAUCCUCUUCAUCCUGUGUGUGUAUGCGGAUAGUUUAAGAAAAUGUUCAACGUCCAUCCAUGGAAAGCUUGAUUUGAUACACAAGUUUUAACCUUUUGUUUUCCUGAUGAUUGGAAAUGCUGAUGAUCUUGUGCCUUCAGAGCAGGAGCAUUAUCCAGGGUUUCAUCUAAUCCUCCUAGCUCGUGCUCCACCACAUUUUUCCCGAAGAACUCACAUUGACUUCAUCAAAUUUCAUGGCUUCUGUAUAAUAAACACAAGAAGAUAUUGAAUUCGGAAAUUUGCAAAAUGAUAAAAGAAUCUGAUAACUUAUGGAUUUGUCCUGCUGAAACACAAAUCAAAAUCCAACACAAAAAUAUUGUAAAAGAAGUGCUGAAAGCAAGCCUCCAUUCUGGGAUUGAUGAACAUUCAGAUAUCCAUGCAAGUAAAAUUAUUUUAACAAAAUUAAACUACGCUAGAAAUCUUAUGAUUUGCUAUAGAAAUUAACGAAAGGAAAAGGUAUUAUAAAAAAUUGUCAAAUUGCAUAUAUAUAGUCUGAUUUGGCACAACAACAACAGAUGAUUUCUAAAAUUAUAUGUGAGAUUGUGUGUUUUUUUCCUUCUUUUUUUCAAACGAAUUCUCAUCUCAAACACAGAUAUACAGAAUUGAGUAUGGAUUUUAUACUUAUAAUCCUGUCAUGAAAUGAUACUAAUAAUUGGACCAUUUGGGCUUUUUCUUCCCUCUCUUUUCUUUGGACAGUCUUGUUCUGUAGGAUGAAUUAGAAUUUACCUGCUAUUCUGCUCAUGGUAAGAAACUAAUUACGGUUUU
rnacentral:misc_RNA from 1 species